AUGACGACUUUAAUAAAAUGUCCAUGGUAGACAAGGAAAAGGACUAGAUGCGGUGUUUAAAGAGAUUGUUUUGAGUCCUGCUUUCAGGAUUUGCCGUCAUCUUUCCCCUUAAAACUUGAAUUUCAGAGAAAAAACAUUUACGCCACUAGAUGACAGUGUUUCUUUUUUGCGCGUAACCACAUGCGGAAGUGGUGGUCACAGAAAGUGGAAGUGCGAACCCGGUAGGUUUUUACCGCGACACGGACUCUCGAGAUUGGUCCGUGUUUGUGGACUGUUUUUGGAUGUAAAUAGUUUGUAAAGUGGAAUACUGGCAUUAAAGUUUAAGAGGAAAACACCUCAAACAAACAAUAGAGGAGACUUCAGCAGAGGCAGACAGAGAACAGUCUAUGAUACAGUGUUGUAUGAAGGCUGUACACAUUUAAUAAGGCACAUGCGCAGUCAGGUGUAUGCCAUUUUGAUGAUAUGCUGAAAUGUCAGGACAUCGGUUCAUUCCUUAUCUAUGAGGAAUCAGCUCUCCACUUUGACCUGGAUAUUGUUAAUCCCCCUGCCCAGAUACAUUCACCGUAGGUCUUGUGGGUCUCCUCUUGUGGACACACAUGAACUCCCUCUGGUCUGCCAUCCAGUGUGUUUCAAGAAACUCUCUUGCCAGCCAAGCCAACAUUCAUUUACUUUGGCAGGAGUCUCCUCUUCUCCAGGAUAUCACUGACUUUUCGAGUUUACUUGUUUGUUUUUCUUCCUAUUUCUAACUAAACACGACCACUUCUUCUGGGUUUGUUUCAGUAUGAAUAAGUGACUCUGUCCCCAAUGGAGGUCUUCUGAUAAUCCAUCACAGGAAACAGAAAUUGAAGCGUGUGUCUUCUUUCUUCAGCUUAUUUAAAUUUGAAAAACUGUCAUCUUCCCCCUCUUCAAGUCCCAAACCAAAUUGUGAUUUCAAAGAUGACUUUUCUCACACCCCUAUCUACUCUCUCACUCAAUGAGAUGCAUUUAAUAGAUUUUUAUAUUUACAAAUUUUACAAUAUAGAAGCAAUAUAAACUUUCCGUUUUAGGGGAAAUCAUACGAACAUUGGAAUGUAAUCCAAUGUUUGUAUGAUUUCCCCUAAAACUCCACUAUUUAAAAGCCAAAAGAUGGGAAUGUUUUAAGUCAUAUAGAAGAAACUAAGACUGUAUUAACCCCUAUAAUCUGUUCACGUUAAGGUUAAUCCAGAUGUUUACAUUGAUCAUAAAAUGUUCAUACUAAUACAAACUUUGACUGUGUACUGUCACCUGUCCUUUUCCUGAUUUGAAGCUCCAAUAUUUCUCUGAAACAUCCAUGCUUUUACUUACUACCCCUCCCCACAGUAGUCAAGUUAAUUUAAUUUGUGCAGUCCAAACUUUCCAAACACAUUUUCCUCAUUUGAUUUUUUCAGUGUUUCUAUUGUCCAUGUACCCUAUAACAGCAGAAAAAAUGUGGAACGUAUAUACAGCACAGUUAAUAUAAUAUUAUGUUUACGUUUACAAUAAAACAAUAGAGCAG